GAAUCACAUUAAAUGGAUUAUUUCUGUGCAAAGAUUAGUCAGGUGGUCAGCUGCCAUAACCACAACUACUUUACUUUCAUCAUGCUAUUCGAUUGUUCGUUGAUAGACGUAGCUCCUGAAACUUAAAUUGCAAAGGAUGCUGAUGGUGAAGGAAGAUCAUAAACGACACAAGUCAAAUGUGUUGAAACAUCAUAAUUUCAUUCCGCUACUCUUAUCCCAUUCGUUGUGUCCUGUCUCGUCCGAGAAACACAGCAUAUGGGGUUUUGCAAACCGCAAACCAUCACCAUUUCCUCAGUCCUCAGAGGAGUGAGCCUGUGGAAUUAAAACUGCAGCGAAUGCUGGCCCUGAAGAAUUGUCACUAAUGGAACAAAACUAUGGAUUGCAAUGCAUCAUGAUAUUGUUAUGCUCUUGGACCACUCUUCGUUUCCU